rnacentral:rRNA from 1 species
AGCGAACGCUGGCGGCAGGCCUAACACAUGCAAGUCGAACGAUGCUUUCGGGCAUAGUGGCGCACGGGUGCGUAACGCGUGGGAAUCUGCCCUUAGGUUCGGAAUAACAGUUAGAAAUGACUGCUAAUACCGGAUGAUGACGUUAAGUCCAAAGAUUUAUCGCCUGAGGAUGAGCCCGCGUAGGAUUAGCUAGUUGGUGUGGUAAAGGCGCACCAAGGCGACGAUCCUUAGCUGGUCUGAGAGGAUAAUCAGCCACACUGGGACUGAGACACGGCCCAGACUCCUACGGGAGGCAGCAGUGGGGAAUAUUGGACAAUGGGCGCAAGCCUGAUCCAGCAAUGCCGCGUGAGUGAUGAAGGCCUUAGGGUUGUAAAGCUCUUUUACCCGUGAUGAUAAUGACAGUAGCGGGAGAAUAAGCCCCGGCUAACUCCGUGCCAGCCGCCGCCGUAACAC